GGGACACGGGAGGGACAGGGACACGAACACGGGACACGGGAGGGACACGGGAGGGACACGGGAGGGACGCGGCAGCACCAGCACCGAGGCCGAAGCACGGGGCUCUAAACGGGGAACGGCCCCGAGCACGAGGCUUUAGAGGGGGAACACCGAGCCCACAGCCAGUGGUUUUUAAAUCAGGAAUGACACCGAGCCUCUCGCGAUUUGAAAAGGGGUUUAAGUCAAACUCCGUGCUUUUUAAAAGGCUGGUACCGAGUAGCUGGAACUGGGCAGUUCUGGGUAAGCAGCUGCGGUGGGAGCAUCCUGCACUCGUCUCAUCUUUUACGGAUAAGAGAGCACAAUUCCAAGAGGAAGAGAGCAGGAACCUGCACAGGCAAUUCCAGCAGUGGGGAUCCAUCACAAACACUGAGCACUAAGCCCCUGCUGCCAUCAGACCCCACCGCAAAUGCAGAGAACUCAGCUGGGGCUGAGCAUGAGAAAUAGUGCUGCGUUGAUGAUGGGGCCUUUCAGAGGAAGCUCCCUGCUUUGUGCAAACUGGAAUAAAACACACGAAUUCCUCAGGGUGAUGUGAGAACUGGAGGCAACAGGACAGAAACCUGUGAUGGGGACAACACAGCCCCUACUGAAGAAAGAAGAGACUGAGCACAGUGAGGAAUUUUUUCAAAAUCAGUAAAACUUUAUUCUAUUUCCAUUCUUUGCCAUUAACAGAAAAAAAAAUUGGAGAAAGCAAUGUUUUGUUUUACAAAGAUAAUGCAUCUCCCAGAGAAGAAAACCCUAAAUUGAGAAUAGAGGUAACAUGAAAAAAAAAUACCAAACCAAACCUUGGGGAAAAACAAACAAACAAAAAAAAGAAAAAAAAAAAGAAAUAAAAAAAAGAAAAAAAACAAACUAAAACAAAAAAAUCCCAAACCAAACCACAGUACUGCCCUCUAUUCCAAAAAGUAACUCCUGAUCUUUUUGGUUAAAGUAAUACUUAGACCAAUCAUUCCGUUUUCUUGCUUGAUAAAGUGUGACUGGGGAAAUGGAGGGAGGG